GUGACACACUGGCACAGUCAAUAACACCACAGGGAAACAAGACACUUGCAGCUGUGGGGCAAAAUGUCACUCUGUCCUGCGAAUAUGAAGGAGCUAUAACUAACCUGCACUGGUAUCGCCAAUAUCCCAGAUCCAAACCAGAGUUCCUGGCUUGGAUUUACCCACAAGGUGCCACAAGUAACCCACUUCCUCCUCGUAUUAUACCAAAAGUGGACAAAAAUCUUGAGUGAAAUGUAAACAGAAAGGAGGGACUACACAGAUCUGAUAUGAUAUAAUCACUUCAGACGAGAGUAGAAACAAUUCAGUCUUCCAGGGAACACAGUGCACUGCACAAUGGAUUUAUUUUCAGUUUUUCUCUUCUACAGUCUGGCAUCUGCUCUUUCUGGAAACGUCAUCACACCAGACAAAACAGAGCUUUUUGCUGAGGAGGGUUCAAAUGUUACAUUGUCCUGUAGUUAUUCCUCUGCAGAUGAUCUAUACUGGUACCGUCAAUAUCCCGGUUCAGCUCCUGAAUUUAUUGAGCUCAUCUUUGAUGGUGCAACAAACACCAAAAAGUCUGAAGUAGAUCCAAGACUCUCAGUUAAACUAACUAAACAAGAACAAAAGCAUGUGGAUCUGAAGAUCUCCUCUGCUGCUGUAUCAGACUCUGCUCUGUACUACUGUGCUCUGAGGCCCACAGUCACAGCAAACAUUUGGGUUCCCUACAAAAACCCUUUAACCAGUGAGAGAGAGCAAGAAUAGAGCUGAUGUAGUGAGUCAAACAGUCUUAAACUGACAUUAUGACAUUCAUAAAACAUACAGUAUUUCACUUUGCAUAUACUCCACAGUAUUUUAAUGGACACUGGCUACCAGUAGCCGCUCGCAUCAAAUUCAAGGUACUGAUGCUUGCCUACAAGAUGACCACUGGCACGGCACCAGCAUACCUAAGCUCAUUAGUUCAAUCUUAUGCGCCCUCCAGAAGUUUGCGCUCUGCAAGUGAACGACGCCUUGUGGUGUCAUCCCAAAGAGGUUCAAAAUCACUCUCACGGACCUUAUCCUGGACUGCGCCCAGCUGGUGGAAUAACCUCCCGAUCUCAAUUCGAACAGCUG
ensembl:lncRNA